AGAGUUUGAUCAUGGCUCAGAUUGAACGCUGGCGGAAUGCUUUACACAUGCAAGUCGAGCGGCAGCGCGGGAAGGGUAACCGGACUGGCGGCGAGCGGCGAACGGGUGAGUAACACAUCGGAACGUACCCAGUCGUGGGGGAUAACGUGGCGAAAGUCACGCUAAUACCGCAUACGUCCUGAGGGAGAAAGCGGGGGAUCGGUAACGACCUCGCGCGAUUGGAGCGGCCGAUGACUGAUUAGCUAGUUGGUGGGGUAAAGGCCUACCAAGGCGACGAUCAGUAGCUGGUCUGAGAGGACGACCAGCCACACUGGGACUGAGACACGGCCCAGACUCCUACGGGAGGCAGCAGUGGGGAAUUUUGGACAAUGGGCGCAAGCCUGAUCCAGCCAUUCCGCGUGAGUGAAGAAGGCCUUCGGGUUGUAAAGCUCUUUCGGCAGGGAAGAAACGGUGGGGGCUAAUAUCCGCUACUAAUGACGGUACCUGAAGAAGAAGCACCGGCUAACUACGUGCCAGCAGCCGCGGUAAUACGUAGGGUGCGAGCGUUAAUCGGAAUUACUGGGCGUAAAGCGUGCGCAGGUGGUUGUUUAAGACAGAUGUGAAAUCCCCGGGCUCAACCUGGGAACUGCGUUUGUGACUGGACAGCUAGAGUGCGGCAGAGGGGGGUGGAAUUCCACGUGUAGCAGUGAAAUGCGUAGAGAUGUGGAGGAACACCGAUGGCGAAGGCAGCCCCCUGGGCCAGCACUGACGCUCAUGCACGAAAGCGUGGGGAGCAAACAGGAUUAGAUACCCUGGUAGUCCACGCCCUAAGCGAUGUCAACUAGGUGUUGGGGAAGGAGACUUUCUUAGUACCGCAGCUAACGCGUGAAGUUGACCGCCUGGGGAGUACGGUCGCAAGAUUAAAACUCAAAAGGAAUUGACGGGGACCCGCACAAGCGGUGGAUGAUGUGGAUUAAUC
rnacentral:rRNA from 1 species